UGGGUUUCUCGUCUAGGACAUCAAGGAAGCAACCCCCAACACCUGAUAUUUGGGUUUCUCGUCUAGGACAUCAAGGAAGCAACCCCCAACACCAAAAUGACGCCAUACAAGAUGGGUCUCGCUCCGCCAAUGCAGGCAAAACAUGGUGGGCAUGCCAAUUCAAAACCCUACAACGCUGCAGGUUCAAGAUUCCACCAAAGAAGAAGACUGCGCGUUCCAGAAAUACCACAAGCUAGCCACGGGGGUUAGGCAGUGACCUUUCACCGGGAGGCAAUUCCUCGGUGCGCAACACCUACGCCAUUUCCCGUCUCGCAUUGAGCUUUCAGAAGAACACGAAAUCCGGAGAUCUUUCGUAUGAAAAAAAUGUCGGGUCUUCUUGAUUUGGGCGAGGCUGCUGCGGCCCCCCGAUUCGUCCCCUUCCCUCGGCCGCCUCACGCGAAAAUGCCGCUACCUUGGACACCGACAUGGUUCGAUAACGAGUUGAGACGACGAGGGCAUUCUAAUCUACCAUGAUCGACUGCAUACCGAGGGAGCCGCUACAGCACCGACUUAAUUCACGACCAAAGAGCGGUGCGCUGCUCCGUAGUUGUCAGUUAAGUCGGCUCGUAUGUUAUUUUAAUAAUUUUGCUUUCGGUCUAAUGUAUUCCUUUCUACCAAAUAAAACAUAAAACAUGGGUGAAUUCCCAUAAAAAGAUAUAAACUUUCAAAAAAUUCUCACAGGCUAUUACUGUGUGAAAAAAUAUUUUAUUUUUAA
rnacentral:lncRNA from 1 species